rnacentral:rRNA from 1 species
CACUCCUACGGGAGGCAGCAGUGGGGAAUAUUGGACAAUGGGCGCAAGCCUGAUCCAGCCAUGCCGCGUGAGUGAUGAAGGCCCUAGGGUUGUAAAGCUCUUUCACCGGUGAAGAUAAUGACGGUAACCGGAGAAGAAGCCCCGGCUAACUUCGUGCCAGCAGCCGCGGUAAUACGAAGGGGGCUAGCGUUGUUCGGAUUUACUGGGCGUAAAGCGCACGUAGGCGGACUAUUAAGUCAGGGGUGAAAUCCCGGGGCUCAACCCCGGAACUGCCUUUGAUACUGGUAGUCUUGAGUUCGAGAGAGGUGAGUGGAAUUCCGAGUGUAGAGGUGAAAUUCGUAGAUAUUCGGAGGAACACCAGUGGCGAAGGCGGCUCACUGGCUCGAUACUGACGCUGAGGUGCGAAAGCGUGGGGAGCAAACAGGAUUAGAAACCCGAGUAGUCCCAUGAU